rnacentral:lncRNA from 1 species
GGUUAUCUGUCUGGGGCUGUUACCAGAUAUCUCAGACCGGAAGUCACAGAUGAAGGAAACCAAAGUGUUCAUGCCAGAACAGAUGAAAUUGACUUGAAAAGUGCAGUAAACAAGAUAGACCGAGAAGGAAAGACAAAUAAAAGCGACAAUGAAAAUGACAGAGCAGAGGUCAAGUGUUCCCCUUCUAAAGUCAGAGUGGCUGCUUCUGUACAGUGGGAAAACACUGGUGUGGUUAAGAUCGACAAUAAUGAUAAACUCAAUGUUCAUACCACAAAAAAACAAACUUACCAUUGUGCAGCAUGGUCCACUGGGACAGAUACAGACAGCAAAGGACGCACAGCUGAGAAAGUUUCAUCUGAUGAGGUUCCAGCCGAAGAAGAACAUGCAAACUGUGAGACUGAGGAGAGAGAAACCGCACAAGAGCUGGAGGUCACUGGAAAAACUGAACAAAAUGAUGGUGACAAUAAAGAAGCAUGUGAUGAGAAUCGUGAGGUUGAGAAGUGUGCAGAGAAGAGAGAAGAUGCAGAUAACACAGACAUAAUGAUCCAGUCUGUGCAAGAUGUAGAACAGGACAAACAGAUCAGCAUGAUGGAUCAUAGACAGACAGAAGACACUGGAGGUUUAAAACAUCCUACUGAUGAAACCGAGAAACAAAUCAUUGUCCAGAAGAAUCAGGGGAAAACUGAGAGUGAUGAAGAUGAGGGGACUGAAUCACAAGUGCAGGAUUUACUGGAAUAUCUGACAGAUGAAGCAAGCCGCAUUUCAAAGCCUGAGAGACUGAAACAAAUAAGACAAAUAUUCUGAUGAAAUCAAUGAAUUCUCUAAAAAUGGGCUUGAGGAGAUGAUUCUUAGAACUGAGCAGGAUGAAGACACCGCAGAAAGGGAACAAGACAUGACUAAAUAUGAGCUAACGGAGUCUGAAUCAGAAAAACAUGCACCAAAUGAUGAAACAGUACUAAAAAUGACCACAGCAGCGGAUGAAACCGUCCAUGCAUUAGAAGACACCCUGCUGUCAGAUUCAGAACAGCACACUUCAGAAAAUAUUCCAGAAUCAGGAACUGGCUCAUCUGUGCUGGCCACCAAAACUGAAGGCAUUUUUUCAGGUCUGACUGUUUGCGAGUUCUCUGGAGAAUCGAGGAGAGGACUAGAGACUGAUUGGCGAUGUUUUGAGGAGAUCCAAACUAAGCUACACGAUCCCCAAACUCCUGCAGAAGAGCGGGCAGAAAGAGACGCUGAGCGCUCGGAGAAAGCAGCCGAGACUGAACAUGACACUGAAACUCUAAUCCAAACAGACCAAACCGAGCUCUCGCUCAAAGAACAUGUUGAAUUCAGAACUGAAACAAAGAUCCGUUCAGGAGACGAGGAAGCAGAAGCCUUUGAGAUAGAAAGUCGAUCACCUGUCAUCAGAAAUGUCACUUUACAGCCACACGAGCUUCUUGAGUUCACAGAAGGACAAUGCAAAUCGUCUCAAGGAACAAUGGACACUUUCAGUGAAACACAGAGGAAUUCAAGCACGUCUGAAACCACUGGAACUGCAGAGCAUGUAUCAACAGAGCUUCUGGAGGAACCUCUAGAUCUGCAGGGCAAAUCAGAGACAGAUGUGGCGAAGACCGCUUUAGAGUAUGUAGAAGAAAUAACAAAUCAAGUCUUGGAGGAAAUGAUGGAAACAGAAUGUAACUUGGUGCAAAAAACAGAACCUUUGGUAGGACUUUCAACAGAAGAACCUGGUGAUGCAGAACAUCAAGCACCUGCACGGUGUGUGUCUGCAGAUGCUUCUGUCCUGGAAGAAGAACCGAUGUUAUUAGCUGAGACAAUGGACAGUAGGGUGGAAACCGCAAGCAGUGAAGAACAUAUUAGUUCACCAGAGUGUGAAAGCACUGAAGCUGAUGGACGUCAUGAGCAGAUGCAGAAGUCCAUCGCUGGAGAAACAGUGUUGAGAAGUCAUGAAGACUUGAUGGAAGUCAGCAGACCUGGGGUGAAAAGAGGAUUUGAUCAAGUGAGCGAAGACCUUCCAGAGGUGAAGACAAAAGAAAAAUUUGAUCUGAUCCUACAGGCUUUCGAGGACUCCUCUUUAGACUUCAGCGUUCAGAAGUCUAGAAUUGCUGUGAAGAAUCCACUCAUCCGGCCUCCCACAGACAUCAGAAAGCUGCUCUUCAGAGCCUCGGCCGAACCUUCAGAUCACAGUCAGACGGCCCGGGUCUCCGCUCCAAGCAAAGGCAUGAUUGGAUUUAAACUCCCAGGGCUGGGCGCAGGGCUGCCAGUGCUGAGGAAAACUGAGUUUGGGCAGAAAGCAGAAGCCGAGAGAUCACUACAGACACAGCAGAAGUCAGUUGCAGUAACAGAGGAUUCUGUCAAACAAGAGCAAAUGCCAGCUAAACCCAAAUGGACUACCGCCAAGGCAUCCUGGCAUGGGGAGCCCCUUCAUGAUGGCAGAACUCAAAAACAAGACUCAAGAAGCCGGUCCAGGAAUAAUAUUUCAUUACAUCAUGAUUUUCAGAUGCAUUCUUCACCUUUUUUUUGUCUUAAUCAAGCACUGAGCAGCCUGGUAAAUUAG